rnacentral:misc_RNA from 1 species
GAUGAAGAACGCAGUGAAAUGCGAUAAGUAAUGCGAAUUGCAGAAUCCGUGAGUCAUCGAAUCUUUGAACGCACAUUGCGCCCCUUGGUAUUCCAUGGGGCAUGCCUGUUCGAGCGUCAUUUGUACCUUCAAGCUCUGCUUGGUGUUGGGUGUUUGUCUCGCCUUGCGCGUAGACUCGCCUUAAAACAAUUGGCAGCCGGCGUAUUGAUUUCGGAGCGCAGUACAUCUCGCGCUUUGCACUCAUAACGACGACGUCCAAAAGUACUUUUUACACUCUUGACCUCGGAUCAGGUAGGGAUACCCGCUGAACUUAAGCAUAUCAAUAAGCGGAGGA